rnacentral:rRNA from 1 species
AGUGAACGCUGGCGGUAGGCCUAACACAUGCAAGUCGAACGGCAGCACAGGAGAGCUUGCUCUCUGGGUGGCGAGUGGCGGACGGGUGAGGAAUACAUCGGAAUCUACUUUUUCGUGGGGGAUAACGUAGGGAAACUUACGCUAAUACCGCAUACGACCUACGGGUGAAAGCAGGGGAUCUUCGGACCUUGCGCAAUUGAAUGAGCCGAUGUCGGAUUAGCUAGUUGGCGGGGUAAAGGCCCACCAAGGGGACGAUCCGUAGCGGGUCAGAGAGGAUGAUCAGCCACACUGGAACUGAGACACGGUCCAGACUCCUACGGGAGGCAGCAGUGGGGAAUAUUGGACAAUGGGCGCAAGCCUGAUCCAGCCAUACCGCGUGGGUGAAGAAGGCCUUCGGGUUGUAAAGCCCUUUUGUUGGGAAAGAAAUCCAGCUGGCUAAUACCCGGUUGGGAUGACGGUACCCAAAGAAUAAGCACCGGCUAACUUCGUGCCAGCCGCCGCCGUAA